rnacentral:rRNA from 1 species
AUUGAACGCUGGCGGCAGGCCUAACACAUGCAAGUCGGACGGUAGCACAGAGGAGCUUGCUCCUUGGGUGACGAGUGGCGGACGGGUGAGUAAUGUCUGGGGAUCUGCCCGAUAGAGGGGGAUAACCACUGGAAACGGUGGCUAAUACCGCAUAACGUCGCAAGACCAAAGAGGGGGACCUUCGGGCCUCUCACUAUCGGAUGACCCCAGAUGGGAUUAGCUAGUAGGCGGGGUAAUGGCCCACCUAGGCGACGAUCCCUAGCUGGUCGGAGAGGAUGACCAGCCACACUGGAACUGAGACACGGUCCAGACUCCUACGGGAGGCAGCAGUGGGGAAUAUUGCACAAUGGGCGCAAGCCUGAUGCAGCCAUGCCGCGUGUAUGAAGAAGGCCUUCGGGUUGUAAAGUACUUUCAGCGGGGAGGAAGGCGGUGAGGUUAAUAACCUCACCGAUUGACGUUACCCGCAGAAGAAGCACCGGCUAACUCCGUGCCAGCAGCCGCCGUAA